CAACUCAUUUCUCUCUCUACUCUCCUGACUCCUCUCCUCUCUUACGGUUCUCGCCAUCUCUUUCUCACCCUCACUCAAAUCACACCCGAGAACUUGAAACCCAUGAAGAUCACCCACCUCUUCACCUAUAAAUUGUGUUCUUGAGCUCGUACCCGGUUGAUUGGAGUUCGGAGAGGAGUAUUCGGUCGAUUUCAAGGUUCUCGAAGUUAGGGCUCGCAUGGCAUUUAGAGGUUAUGCUCAAAACACAUUCGGUGUGAUUCCGGAGCAGUAGCAUGAAGUAAAGUGCAUGCAUCCAAGUGCAUAUUUUUGAAAGAUGUGAUAUAAGUGACUCAUGGACAUUUUGGUAAAUCAUGUCUUGGGAUGUAAUAGAACCUUAACUCAAUUUCUUUUAAUGAUGUAAUAUAUUCAAACUCUUUGAGUUGGAUAUGUACUUUAAUGACCAGGAAAUGGUAAACUCUUUUUGGGGUAUUAUGUAAGAUAAUGUAAGGAGUUUUAUUUAUGAAAAACUAUUUUUAUUUACGUUAAAAAUCGAGGGCGUGACAAAUCAAUAAUCAACAAACAUUUGAUGCAAAACUAACAAGGCAAAAAAAAUUUAAAUAAAGACAAAAAAAAAAAAAGCCAAGUGGCUUAAUUUCGUGGAGAUGAACCAAUGAUCCAUAAAAAAAAUUGACGUAAACCUGACAAAUGCGAAAAAAAUUGAAUAACUUACCCAACAAAGGUGACGACACAAUGGCUCUUGUUUUUGCCAGAGCGAACAACACGACGACACACGACACCUUUUUUCGACUCGUUUUUGGUGUGUUUUUCUUUCUUCUUUUCUGCUUUCAGUUAUGGAUCUGGACAAGGAAUUUUCGUUACUUGCAUCUGCUGUUGGUGCGAGUAAACCUAGUUCGUCGAGAAGGGGGAAAUCGACCCAAUCGAGGCUAAAGUACCUUGCCAAGACCAACGAGGUACUAUAGCACCAUGCUAUUCCGCGACCUUGAACGAGUUUGAUGGGUAUUCAUUUUCUGUGCUUCAGCUAAUUAUGAGAGCUAAAACCUCCAAUUGUUGAGGAGCUAUAACCUCCAAUUGCUAAGGCAGUUGGAGAUGCUUUGCGAGCUUUCAAACGAUCGAAAAAUACAGAGGGAAACGUUGUACAAAUCCUGAAGAUGAAAAGAGAGAUACAAAUCGUCGAAGAUGGAAGAGAGAGAGAGAGAGAAAGAGAGAGAGAGAAGAAGAAGAAGAAGAAGAAGAAGAAGAAAGGGGAAGACGUAUACACCUCUGUCUCAAUCAUUGCCAGAGAAAAUGCGUGAACUUGUCAGGUGCGGAAAGGUGAGAAGACGAAAACACCCCUAAAGAAGUAAAUCUAGUGAUUGUUUGGUGCGCAAGGAGAAAAUUUUGCAUAGAAUUCAUGGGUCUGAAAAAUUACUGUCUUAUGGUGGAAUGGUUCAAUUGAUUCAGUCAGUUUUAUACAGUAUCCAGGUAUAUUGGAGCUCCAUCUUUAUUCUCCCUAGUAAAGUUGUGAAGGAGAUUAAGGCCACUUUAAUGGCCUUUCUAUGGUCUGGUUCUGAUCUUAAGCAUUCAGCUGCUAAAGUCAAAUAGGAGCGUAUUUGUUGUCCUAAAGAAGGAGGGUUAGGCUUCAGGAAAAUAAAAUAUUGGAAUAAAGCUUCUAUGAUGCGACAUCUUUGGGCUUUAUGUUUGAAGGCAGAUACGUUAUGGGUAAAAUGGGUCCAUUCCUACAUUAAAUGGCGAAACUUAUGGUCUAUGGAUACCCCAUGAUAUGCAUCCUGGACAAUUCGAAAGUUAUUCAGUAUUAGAAAGCUAGGGCAGCCGCUGAUUAAGUAUAAGGUUGGAAAUGGGCAAGGGACAUUCCUUUGGCUCAACAAUUGGCAUCCAAUGGGACCCCUUUAUGAUAGAUUUGGCAGUGAGGUGGUUUUCAAUCUUGGAAGAUCUUUGCGAGCCAGGGUUUCGUCCAUCAUUUUCCUAGGGGAAUGGAGACGGCCUCGAACUAGAAAUAGAGUUGCUCAGGCUAUUAUUAAUCACACCCCCUCUGAUCUUAAAUCAGAUGUAACAAGGGAGGAUUCCAUAAUGUGGCUGCCUCAGUCUAAUGGUCGUUUCUCUGCAAAGUCAACUUGGGAAGCUAUCCGACACCGAUUUCCCUCUCGUACUUGGGUUAACAUAGUAUGAGGAAGUAAGAUUGUGCCGAAAUGGUCGUUUCUCCUCUGGAUGGCAGUACAAUACAAGCUAAGUACUAGGGAUAGACUCCGCAACUGGGAAAUGAAUGUGGAGGAUUCAUGUGUGCUUUGCAGGAAUGAUAUAGAGUCCCAUAACCAUUUGUUUUUUCGAUGCUCUUUUUCUUCUAUUGUUUGGAAUGAAGUGUGGGGUAAGAUUCCAACUUUUGGUGUCCUGAGUAGUCUGGAAGAUGUGGUGGAAUGGUUCACUGGGAAUGUAAAAGGAAAGGGUCUUGAGUGCCUAAUCAUGAGAGUACUCUUGCUGCAGCAAUUUAUGUGAUUUGGAGAGAAAGGAAUCUUCGGAUCUUUCAAGGCCACGCCUCUGCAGUGGACCAAGUUUCUGCUCUAUUAGUGAAUGCUAUUAGGGACUCUUUGAGUACUAGAAGGGGGGUUAAACCCACGGCUCUUAAUAAUGUGUUAGGAGUUGGUUGGAGAUUGCCUACUUGUAUUUUCUCUUAGUUUUUUUCUUGUUGAUCUGAUGCCUUGUUCUGGGCUUGCUGUUUUCUAUUUUCAAGUUUAUGCCUAGGCAUUGCGCUGUGUUAGCAUUUUGGGAGGUGUUUUUCUCUUGUUUACUGGGGUAUGCCCCUUUAUGUAUGAGUAUUGAGCUUUUCUAAUGAAAUUUACUUAUCAAAAAAAAAAAAAAAUUUGUUUA